rnacentral:rRNA from 1 species
CAGUCGCCGCGGUAAUACGGAGGGCGCGAGCGUUACCCGGAUUUACUGGGCGUAAAGGGCGUGUAGGCGGCCUGGGGCGUCCCAUGUGAAAGGCCACGGCUCAACCGUGGAGGAGCGUGGGAUACGCUCAGGCUAGAGGGUGGGAGAGGGUGGUGGAAUUCCCGGAGUAGCGGUGAAAUGCGCAGAUACCGGGAGGAACGCCGAUGGCGAAGGCAGCCACCUGGUCCACUUCUGACGCUGAGGCGCGAAAGCGUGGGGAGCAAACCGGAUUAGAUACCCCUGUAGUCCCUGUCUCUUAUAC